UUUCUCAAACUAAGCUGGAACCCCUCUCGGGAAGCUCCAACCUCCUGCAAACCCCAUGACUCUAGAACCUGCAUGAGGCGUCGUUUCCCUGCCCCCUUCCAGUUGUGCCUGCCCCUCACUGCCCUCUCCGCACACAGAUUCUCUGUCCACCAGGCCAGGGAUGUGGGCGGGGGCUGGGGAGCGGCCAGAGUCGGAAUGAAAGGGCCUUUUUCUUCCACAGCUGGGAGAACAGCUGCCACCAAAGCGAGACUGGACACUCUGUGCCUAGAGCCCCCUCUGCAGCUGGCCUUUCCUCCUGGGACCCCACUCAUCCUCACUUCGCUUUCCUUUUCUUCCCUGCCUGGCUCCCAGCAGGACCCCGGAGCAGCAGUAGGAGAGGAAAAUUUGUCAGAGCAGCCAGAGGGGUUUAACAGGAGUGCAGAGGGAUAAGGGCAGCCUCUGCCCUCUGCCCAAGAGCUGGCCACCUCUUUAAAGACUGAGGGAACAGUGGGAGGAGGAACUGUGGGACAGUGUGGUACCUAUCUGUCCCCCCUCUGGAGGGGUUGACAAGGGAAAGGGCACCGGGGGGGCACAGAGAUGCAGGACAGAUUGCACAUCCUGGAGGACCUGAAUAUGCUCUACAUUCGGCAGAUGGCACUCAGCCUGGAGGACACGGAAUUGCAGAGGAAGCUAGACCAUGAGAUCCGGAUGAGGGAAGGGGCCUGUAAGCUGCUGGCAGCCUGCUCCCAGCGAGAGCAGGCUCUGGAGGCCACCAAGAGCCUGCUAGUGUGCAACAGCCGCAUCCUCAGCUACAUGGGCGAGCUGCAGCGGCGCAAGGAGGCGCAGGUGCUGGGGAAGACAAGC
rnacentral:sRNA from 1 species